ensembl:ncRNA asRNA:CR44990 antisense RNA:CR44990
AUGGCUGUGUGUCUUGACCCUGAACUAUGACCCGCUAUCGCCGUGUAGUCAUCAGGUCGCUUGGACUCGCGCUUCUCGGCCUUUUCGCAUAGGUCACCGCAGUUGGCGUGCUCGCAAAUGUCACAGAUAUUGGAUUUGGGUGCCCUGUAGAACUGUCUGGCACGGCGAGCUGUAUAUCAAGGCGCCUUCUCCGUAAUGGAAGCCGAUUUGGAGAUUAUUGCCCUGACUGGAAAAGCGUUCGGCGAACAUGAGAAGCGCCUGAAGGCCGACUACAGUAUCCUGCGAUGCCACAAAACCACCUUUGGGAUUUCGCUGGUCCAUCAACCAGUUCAAGACGGGCAGGGCAUCGCCCACCAAGUUAUUUUCCAGUAGAGCCAAGGCGGCGUAAGCGGAGAUCUCAAUGUUGACGCUACGAGUGGCAUUAUACCAGGGUGAUUGUUGCUCACCAGCGGGCGCCGUUUUGUUCCACCACUUGAGGCCAUCUGGAAGAUAGUUGCACUAUUACAGCCAGUGUCACAAAUGCAGUCAGACUGAUGCCAUCGUCGCCAAAUCUCUCGAAUACGUCGCCACGCUCCUCGAAGCCACCGUUUGCUGAUUGAACACUUCCCAAAUAGGUUAGUGCCUUUUGCAGGACAUUGCUAUCCACUUGAGUGAAUGGAGCCGCUUGUCGAAGUGAGCGAGCCACGUACGCUGUCAGCCAGGUGGAACUCCGCUUGAUAUCUAAUCCAAAUGCACUGAAGGCACCAUUCUCAUGGCGAUAAUAAAGAAUUCUCUGGUAGCCUAUAGCCAGAUUGUUUGUGGCACGCAGUUCCACUUCGGGCGUGAUAACGUAAUACUAUUAGAUUUGGUACAAAAUUAACCAUGGUCUGUUCGCCGCAGCCUGUUGGCAGAAGGAUAAGGCUAUCCAGAUUACCCACUAAGCUGCCAAUGAGAUCGCCAACGGCUGAUACUUCAAUACGUGUGGAUUCCGGAAUGGCGUUGCGUGGAACCGCAAUGGUGACGUUCCUUCUAUUCUGGGCAUUGGAGUUAAGUUCGAAGAGGAAUCCUCUGUUGAUCCGCUCCAUGGCUCCAGGGUGCUCCACCAGCAGAUUUUGUUCGACUGUAUCGCCAGCCUGGGAGGAGGCAGCCAUUGCCUUGACCAAGAGGGGCCCCACUCUCUUCGGAGUCACGAUGAAGGACACGGAGCGGGCGGAUCGUCCCGGUACCUGCAAGGAUCUACGUCUGUAGAGUUCCACCUCUGAAAAUUGUAUAAAUAGUUAAAGAAUCGUAAAGGUCAUAACAGUAACACGGAAAACUCACUUGGUUGGUUGGUGGCCUUAGGAUCCAGUUGUGGGAAAUCAAAGUCCAGCGCUGAGUUGU